GAAAGUAUCCUACUAAAUCUACUUCUCCAGGAAGAACAGAGAUAAGCAGCAGCAUCAGUAGAAUAUAGAACUUGAAAGUGUUCCAUAAAGCAUCAGUGAUAAAGACAAGCAUAAUGGGUAGUGGUCAGAAACCUAAUGAUUUUGAUAAAGUCAAAACUGCUAAAAAAAAAAUUUUUUUUCUAAUAUCGCCUUGCAAAACAUUAAGAAUUUCCUAUUUAAGAAGCUAAAAAAUAGACCUGGUUUUAUAGUUUUGGGAAGGGAAAGUGUAUAUCUCUCCUUACAAAAAUAGAAAAUAAGCAAAGAAAAAAUUUUAAAACAGUGAAUAGAUGAUUUGAUUUUAUUAGAGGCACUAUAUCAAGUAGCCUUCAGACACAGGGAAACCAGAACAAAGAAUUAGAAUGCAAAGAUCAAAUAGUAAUCCAUUUGAUAAUGGGUCAAGUGAUCCACUGUCAGGGAAACACAAUGAUAUGUAUAACCUCUUGAUGGAUCUUUUGUCCAUUAUCAACCCAUAAGAUGUUCAAGGAAUGAAAGAAAUAGCCACUAGCUAAGAAACUAGAACCUAUGUUAGAAACAAACUCAAUCGAUUUUAUGAUAACUUUGUUUAAUAACAUAAAAAAAAAAAAAAAACCAGAUGCUGUCUGGUUAUUUAGAGUUUAUCAAUUAGAUGGUAAAUCCAUUAGAUCAGAUCAUGGGGAGGUUAAAAGUUUGGGCAUAAUUAGUAAGGAUGAAAGUUAACUCAUUUUAUUAAAACCAUACCAGUGGAAAAUAGAAGAUUGGUAGAAGAUAUUCUCCUGCAUUUGACUUUUUCAAGCUUGAAGAAGAUGAUGACCCAUAUCUCAUGAUAAUGAAAACACUGUUAAACCUAGAAAUCUAUACCUCAGGCAAUACAACUAAUAUUUAAAAUGGCCAUGAUAGAAUAGGUAUAUCUGGAUUUGACCCAGCAUAUAAAGUGACCAGGAUUAAUACAAUAUACUGAGAAGCUAUUAUUGAUUAGAUCAGAUCCAAACUAUAAUAAAACUGUACUCCUUUUUUCUCUUGGGAGGAACAAAAACUAUAGAGCAGUCAUGAGAGCUUUAAGGCUAAGUGAGGAUGUUCACUCAAAAACUAAAUAUGCAAAGCCUUACAGAAUAAGAGACCUAACCAGGGUAAUAAUGCCCUUAAGGGAUGACAUUAUAAGAACCAAGGAAAUCGUAGGAAUUUAAGCCAAGGUCAGGUUUAAUCACAAAAUGAAUAAAGGCCUUUUAGGAAUGUUGGUCCAAAUUAAUACAAAGAAGAACUUUUGAUUUUGUUAAUGGCAAAUCAUUGUUGACAUUUAAAGGUAUGGAAAGGGAAAUCGACCUCCUCCUACACAAAGUAUAAAUGGAGUACUGUUUGUGAGAAAUAACAAGGCAGCAAGUGUUUACUGAAUUGCAGAGUAUAUGGAAGGGACAAAGAUAAGAAAAGACUGGAAAGAUAGAUGGGGAGCCAGUAUAAAGAAAAGAAUAUGGAAGGUCCCAAAAAAUGGCAGCUGAGAGCUAAAAAAAAAAAAAAAAGAAUGUAGGAAGUGUCCAAUCAUUAGUGAACUUUCCCGGAGCUGAGAAAUUAAGCAACUAAUGAAGUCUCUUUCCCCCUUCCCCAAUCCCUUUCUUUGCAAGAGGAUAAAUGUAUAAUUCAGUUUUCUGGUCUUUGAAGUUAUUUGUUUAUUUUUUUAAGUAAUGUUUCUAAAAGCUAUCACACUCUAGAUAAAAUUUGACCUAUUUUAACUGGAUUUUAUUUGUUUAUUUCCUUAAUUGCAAACAGGGGCUUGAAGGAGAGAAGAAUAAUGUUUGGAUAUAUAGAGAUAGAAAGAGGAUCACGGUUUAAGCUCUAGUCCAAAUGUACCAGACUUUAUCCUGCCUGGAGGAAAAACCAAAUUGGAAGAGAAUCUUAUUUUUAUUUUUUGAUUUUGGAUGAACUUCCCAAAAAUUGGAUCCAGGAUUUCCUUUUACCCCUCAAGCUAAAAUGAGACAGAGCACUAUUUUGCAUUGGGGACAAAAAUGAGCUGUCAGGUCACGUAGCCUCAUUCACUAGUCCUCUCUUUUUCCCAGGUGUGCUUAAAAAAAAAAAAAAAAAAAAAACCCUCCCUACAGGAAUGGAAUACAGUAUAGUGACUGGAGGGCAAGAACAACCUGACAGAAAAGGAAAAGGUGUGACUGGUCCUGGAUGGCAACACCUACAUUCUAAAGGGGGAAGGGGGCUGAGAAGGGAGUCAUUUUUAACUUUUGGCUUCAUCUUCACUCAUACCCAGAGAAGUAAAAAUGUUAUACUAUGAGUGGAACAAAGAAGUUACAAAACAUAAUCCCUGCCCUGGAGGAGCUGACAUCUAGUUGAAGGGAUAAGAAAAUGAACAUGAAAAAAACAACUAUCAACACAAGGAAAAAUCUGUGUGACUGUGCAAUUGAUAAGAUACAAUCUGCUAAGACACAGUGUUGUCAAGUUCAAAAGACCCUAAAUUGCAGCAUUUUGAAAGGCAACUCUGCUCUGAAAAAAUAUGGAAAACACAGCUGGAUUGGACCAAAUAAAUCUGGAGGGCUAAAGGCUGUUAUCUGAAGGAAGUUAAAGUACAAAAGGGCAAAAAUCCUUAGACCUUACUGAUUCUGGAAGAAGAAAGAAGAAAGAACCCAACCAUAAACACUUACUAUAGAAAUAGGGAAGACCUGGGUUCAUCUUCAGAGAAGGAGAUUGAAGUUUAAAAAAAAAAAAGAAGAAGAAGAAGAAGGCUCUUUUACUCCAAAGAGUAACAUUAAUAAUUAUCUGCCCAGAGAGAAUUUAUAGGAGACUCAAAAAAAGACUUUUAAAAUCAAGUGAAAGAGACUGAAGAAAAACUAAAAACAAAAAACCCAGAAACCAUCCAUGAAAAUCAGGAAGAUAAUGAAAAAAAGUUAAGCAACUAGAAAAGGAGAUGCAGAAUCUUAAAAAAAGAAAAUAAUUCUUUGAAAAUUAUAAUUGGGCAAGGGAAAGCCAAUGAAGCCAUAAGAGACCAAGAAAUAACAAAAUAAAAUAUAAAGAAUGAAAAAACAGAAUAGAAUAUGAAACAUAAGAAACACAACAGAUCUGGAAAACAGAUCAAGAAAAGAAAAUAAAGAAAUAAUUAGGUUACCUAAAAGUUGUGAUCAGAAAAAGAACCUUGACACAAUAAUGCAAGAAAUAAUCAAAAUUCAUCUGGAAGAAGAAAAGGUCAACAUAUCAAGAUAAUUGAUAGGGAAAUGCAAAGGAAGGUAGCCUCACCAUAUCAGAUCUAAAACUGUGUUAGAAAGUAGCAAUCAUCAAAACUAGUUUAUUGGUUGAUACUGAAAUAGAAUGGAGGAUCAAUGGAAUAGGUUAGAUAUUCCUAUCUAUUACCUGCCCAGGUUAAUGACUAUAGUAAUCUACUGUUUGACAAACCCAAAGACUCUAGCUUCUGGGAUAAGAACUCACUAUUUGACCAAAAUGCAGAGAAAACUAGAAAAUGGCAUAGCAGAAACUAAGCAAAGAUCAACAUCUCAUAACCUAUAGCAAAAUAAGUUCAGAAUGGGUUCAUGAGAGAGAUAGUGAAGAAUAAAAGGAUCUUUUGUGCUGUGCUCCAUGGGGUUUGGAAGAUUUGAAUACAACUCAAUAAUAAAUUGGGCAGCUAGGUGGCACAGUGGAUACAGCACUAGCCCUAAAAUCAGGAUAGACCUGAGUUCAAAUCUGUACUCAGACAUUUAAUAUUUCUUAACUGCAUAAAUCCUGGGCAAGGCACUUAACCUCAAUUGCCUUACCUAAAUAAAUAAAUAGCAAAAUGGAUAUGGGAUUUAGAUGUGAAGGGUGAUACUAUAAGCAAAUUAGGAGAACAAGAAAUAGUUUACCUGUCAGAUCUUUGGAGAAGAGAGAAAUUUAUUAACCAGACAAGAAAUAGAGAACAUUAUGAAUGCAAAGUGGAUCAUUUUGAUUACUUUAAAUUAAAAAGUGGUUGUACAAAUGAAAGCAAUGCAACCAUAAUUAGAAGGGAAUAGAAGGAAAGCAGAAAGCUAGGAAACGAUUUUUGCAGCCAGUAUUUCUGAUAAAGGCCUCAUUUCUCAAAUGUAUAGAAAGAACUAAGUCAAAUUCUACUGAUAUAGAUGGUCUACUGAUAUAAAUGGUCAAAGGAUAUGUACAAGCAGUUUUUAGAUGAAGAAAUUAAUGCUAUUAAGAGUCAUGAAAAAAUGCUUUAAACAACUACUGAUUAGAGAAAUUCAAAUUAAAAUAACUAUGAAGUACAACCUCACAUCUAUCAGAUUGACUAAUAUGACAGAAAAAGAAAAUGAUAAAUGUUAGAGAGGAUGUGGGAAAAUUAGGAUAUUAAUGUACUGUUGUUGGAGUUGUGAACUGAUCCAAACAUUCUGGAGAGCAAUUUGGAGCCAUGUCCAAAGGACUAUUAUGUAAUGGGCUGAGGCUUGAGUUGAUGCACUGAGGUCCCAAGCACGUGAGGCCAAAUAAUAAUUGGACCAUACUCUAUUAAUAUAUAUGCUUGGAGAAAGAAUGACCCCCGCCCACUCUUUGUGCAAGUCCUGAUGUGUUGUAUAGGAAAUGACAAUUUUGGUGGGUGGAGGCAGGGGAAUGGAAAAGGGAAGUGGAAAAAGAGGCUGCUGGCUGGCGUCUUGUCGCGGCUGCUCACAUUGCUAUCUCGAUCGCCCUUCACCUCCAAUCCCCUUUUCACCUGCAAUCCCCCUUUACCUCUGCUAGCUGGCUUCCUGUCGCAGCUGCCCAUAUUGCUAUUUCAAUCCCCCUUCACCUCAAAAAGAAUAAAGAUUGAAGAUUUUUCCCUUAACCUGAAUUCCUGACUCCGGCUGAUUUUAAAUACACGAUCUUCAAACUAUUAAAUGGUGUAUGUCUUUUGAUCCAGCAAUACCAUUAUUAGAUCUGGAUCCCAAAGAGAUCAUAAAAAGGGAAAAUGACUCAUAAAAAAUAUUUAUAGUAACUUUUUUGUGGUGGUAAAGAACUGGAAAUUGAGGGGUUGCCCAUCAAUUGGGGAAAGGCUAGACAAGCUGUGGUAUCUAAAUGUAAUAGAAUAUUAUUGCUCUUUAGGAAAUAAUGAUCAGGCAGCUUUCAGAAAAGCCUGAAAAGACUUACAUGAACUGAUGCUGAAUGAAGUAAACAGAACCAGGAGAAGAAUGUACCUAGUAAUAACAAUAUUGUGCAAUGAUCAACCAUGAUAGACUUAGUUCUUCUCAGCAAUACAAUGAUUCAAAACAAUUACAAAAGACUUGUGACAGAAAAUGCCAUUCACAUCCAGAGAAAGAACUAUGGAGUCUGAAUGCAGGUUGAAGCAUAUUAUUUUGACUUUUUAAAAGUUAAUUUGUCGUAGCAGGAUACAAAAUAAAUCCCCAUAAAUCCUCAGCAUUCUUAUACACCACCAACAAAAUCCAAGAGCAAGAGAUACAAAGAGAAAUUCCAUUCAAAAUAACUGUUGAUAGCAUAAAAUAUUUGGGAAUCUACCUACCAAAGGAAAGUCAGGAAUUAUAUGAGCAAAAUUACAAAAAAGUUUUCACACAAAUAAAGUCAGACUUAAAUAAUUGGAAAAAUAUUAAGUGCUCUUGGAUAGGCCGAGCAAAUAUAAUAAAGAUGACAAUACUCCCUAAACUAAUCUAUUUA